CAUAGCGACUAUCGUGGCAUAUCAAUAAGCGGAGGAAAAGAAACUAACAAGGAUUCCCCUAGUAACGGCGAGUGAAGCGGGAAGAGCUCAAAUUUGAAAUCUUAAAGGGUUUCCCUUUACGAAUUGUAGUUUAAAGAAGUGUUUUCUGUUGGAGUUUCGGUAAAAGUUCUUUGGAAUAGGACAUCAUAGAGGGUGAGAAUCCCGUAUUUGACCGUUACUUUCCAGCUGUGUGAUACACUUUCAAAGAGUCGGAUUGUUUGGGAAUGCAGUCCAAAAUGGGUGGUAAAUUUCAUCUAAAGCUAAAUAUUGGCGAGAGACCGAUAGCGAACAAGUACCGUGAGGGAAAGAUGAAAGAACUUUGAAAAGAGAGUUAAACAGUACGUGAAAUUGUCAAAAGGGAAGCGUUUGACACCAGUGUUGUUUAGUUGAAAAUCAAUUCAAUAAUUUUUGAUUUUGAGUAGUAUUGACUUCAUCAGCUUGCUGCUUUCUUUUCAGGAAAUUAUUGAAUGCACUUUUCAGUUAACAAGUCAACAUCAAUUUCUUUUGUUGUAAAAGGGUAAGAGGAAGGUGGCUUACGCUUCGGCGUAAGUGUUUAUAGCCUUUUACCUCUGCAAUCGGAGAGAUUGAGGACAGCAGCGUAGACUCUUCGGGGUUAGAUACACUUGUGCUAAGCUAUAGCCUUGUAUAGACAACUUGUUGACUAUGCUCAGUCAUGUAGCUUACUCGCUUGUGCUAUUUUACCUACGCUUAGGAUGUUGAUAUGCAUGACUGAUAU
rnacentral:rRNA from 1 species